GAUGAACGCUGGCGGCGUGCCUAAUACAUGCAAGUCGAGCGAACAGACGAGGAGCUUGCUCCUCUGACGUUAGCGGCGGACGGGUGAGUAACACGUGGAUCACCUACCUAUAAGACUGGGAUAACUUCGGGAAACCGGAUCUUAUACCGUAUAAUCUAUUGAUCCGCAUGGUUGAAUAGUGAGAGACGGUUUUGCUGUCUCUUCUAGAUGGAUCGGCGCUGCAUUAGCUAGUUGUUGAGGUAACGGCUUACCAAGGCAACGAUGCGUAGCCGAGCUGAGAGGGGGAGCCGGCAUGAGGGGGUGGACACCCGCACCGGAACUGUGAGAGGGGCAGGAGUAGGAAAGGUGGCGGAAGGGGCGAAAGUCUGACGGAGGAACGAAGCGUGAGGGAGGAAGGUCGUGGGAGCGAAAACCGCUGUUAGUUGGGAAGAACAAAUGGGUAGGGACGUAGGCAGGGCGAGAGGAUAGCGAAUCAAAGCGCCACGUAAAAAUGCG
rnacentral:rRNA from 1 species